rnacentral:rRNA from 1 species
UCGAGGGGAAACGAUAGAGAAAGCUUGCUUUUUCUAGGCGUCGACCGGCGCACGGGUGAGUAACGCGUAUCCAACCUGCCCACCACUUGGGGACUAACCUUGCGAAAGUAAGACUAAUACCCAAUGACGUCCAUAGAAGACAUCUGAAAUGGAUUAAAGAUUUAUCGGUGAUGGAUGGGGAUGCGUCUGAUUAGCUUGUUGGCGGGGUAACGGCCCACCAAGGCAACGAUCAGUAGGGGUUCUGAGAGGAAGGUCCCCACAUUGGGACUGAGAUACGGCCCAGACUCC